CGGGAGGGAGCUAGCCAGUUGGGAGCGGGCGCGCGCUGAGGUGGCGGGCGGCGUCGCCCGCCAAGGGUAGCCCACUGAUCUGUGAUGGUUCUGGGAGCAUGGGGCGCGGCUUGGGACACUUGAGGGUCUGUGCUGCUGCUCGGCCGGGGGCUGGGGGGCUGGGCGUGGUGGAAAGCUGCUGCACCGGCAGUGGUACCCCCCACCCUGCCGCUCUCUCCCGAGCCCCUUGCAGGCCACGUGAUUCCUUGGUAGCGCCUGCUGUGCGUUGACUUCCCUGUUGACUUCCCCACCCUAGCCUCUGCGCCCCCGGCCAAGCUACUAACCAACCUGUCAACCGCCAACCAAUGUGCAACAACAACAUAACUGUUGUGCACAGACCUCCAUGAUCAACCGCCUGACGGCCACGGUGUGGCCCACGAUGACCAAGGCCAUCAUCGACAUGAUCGUGCAGGUGUGUGCACGUGCAGGGAUGAAGCAACGAGUGCAUGCGUGUGUGUAUGUGUUUGCAUGCGUGUGUAUGCGCAGGGUUUGUCAGCUCGCAUGUGUAAGCGUGGACAUUGCACGUUGUAACGAGUACUCACACUCUGUCUUGUUCCCCUCCCUCCCUCCCCGCACCCCUCCCCACUUCCCUAAUCAAUCAUGAUUGUAACACCCGCUCCCCCCCCACACACACACGCACCACACAGGGCGACGUGUACAACACAGUGCUGUACCCGCAGCUGCAGGCGCAGGUGUUCAGCAAGGUGGGGGCAGAGGGUGGGGGCGGGGAGGUGGGAGGGAGGGAGGUGGGGGACGAGGGGCGAGUGGUGCAGGAGGAGGAGGGGGGGAGGGGUCGAGAGGAGGAGGAGGGGGAAGGGGCGAGAGGAGGAGGAGGGGGGAAGAAAGAGGCAUGGUUUGGCGCGGUGAUGGCAUGAGCGCAGUGAUGGCACCUGUGCGAGAUUGCAAGUACAGUGCAUGGUGCUGGGUUUCUGUGUGUUGGGGCCGCAGGGGCCAGGGGAGGGUGGGGCGGGUCUUGGGGCGGGCCGGGGCGGCCCCUGCCUCCUCGGGCCGCAAGGGCUGGGGGUGACUGGGGUAACGGCGGGGGGGCUGCCUAUGGCGCGAGGGCGCCUGCGGCGGGGUUGCUGUGUGCGCACCUCCCCUUUGCGUCUGCGGCUCUUACCGUGCCGCCGCCGACGACCCCCCCCCUCGCCUGCAGUACGCGUUUGUGGAGGACAUCUUCCUGGGCCCGCACUCGCUCAAGCACGGCAAGAUCGACCUCAAGGUGGGGCGGGGGGGGCCGCAGAGGUGGCCGGGGCGACCGGGGGUUUCGGGGGGGGGGGCUUCAUGUCGGCGGGUUUAAGGGGCGGCGUGGCCACAGCGUGACACGGGCGGUGGCCGCAGGAGCUUCAUGUCGCGUCACUCGGGCGGGGGCGGGGGCGGGGCGCGAAACACUGGUCCGGGGGCAGGUCCCAUUGCAAGCGCCCAGCCCCCACUAGCACUAGAAUCACCAUGGCUGACGGCUACUCCCUUCCCUCCCUCCCGGCUACGCCCCUCCCUCCCUCCCGCCCCUCCCACCCCUUCCCCCCCCUGCAGACCAACCCCUUCCUGGCCGACAAGCUGUUCACUGUGGGCGGCGUGGCUCCCCGCAUCGGCGGCAUGCGUGUGGUGCCCACCUCGGAUGACGAGGUACUGCUGGAGACGUCCAUGAUCUGGGGCAGCCAGGCGCAGGUGAGGGGGGGAGAGGGGAGGGUAGGGGGGUGUAGAUUCCAGCCCAUAGUAAAUUGAACCCAAUGCAAUAUGAGGGAGAGGAGGGGAGGCAGGGUGUGUGCCCAAGAGGUGAGGGGGGAUCAUAUGCCCAAGCCCAACGGGGGGGGAGACGGAGGGGGAUAGAGGGGAGGCGUGGGGUGAGGGCCGGGGUGCGGGGCGCGGCGCGGGGGGGGAGGGAUGAGGGUUUGGAGCGUGUUGGAAUAGGGUGGGGGCACGAGGCGGAAGGGGGCGGGCGGGCGGGAGGGAAGGGAGGGGAGAGGAGGGAAGGGCCUACGCCACUUGACCUCGGGAAAGGGUGGGAGCCGUCCAUGGACGACAUGGCAUAGGCGUGUCGUGUCACACACAUCUGCUGCCUGACCUGCCGCCCCUCCUUGAGUGACGGAAAGAGGCGGGGGCAGGGGUUGGACCGCGUAGGGCAAGGGAGGGCAACAAAAGGGGAAGGAGGCUACUUGCCGCAUGGUUGCGCCAGGGAGGGAUAGGCAGCCGUACACGAACGGCGCGAGUGACCAAUCGACACACACCGCAACACUGCUGCCACCUGACCUGUCUCCUCCCACCGCCUGCCCUGCCUGCUGCCCUGCCCCGCCUCCCGGCCCUGCCUGCCCCGCCCGGCCCUGCAGUUCGACGUGCACGUGGUGCUGCGGUUCGGGCGGCUGCGGCUGGUGGUGCCGCUGCAGCUGGCCAACAUCAGCUUCAAGGUGCGGCUGUGUGUGUGUGUGUGUGUGUGUGUGUGUGUGUGUGUGUGUGUGUGUGUGUGUGUGUGUGUGUGUGUGUGUGUGUGUGUGUGUACGUGCGUGCGUGCGUGUGUGUGCGGGGUGGGGAUGCUGGAGAGGGGGCGGCUGGGGUGGGGGCGGUNNNNNNNNNNNNNNNNNNNNNNNNNNNNNNNNNNNNNNNNNNNNNNNNNNNNNNNNNNNNNNNNNNNNNNNNNNNNNNNNNNNNNNNNNNNNNNNNNNNNUUAAAUAAUCAUGAAUGUAACCCGCCUCCCCCGCAGAUUGUGCUGGAGCCGGUGACCCUGCCGCUGCUGAACAAGCCGCUGGUGCCGGGCAUUGGGAUGGUGCUGCCCAACGCCAUGUCCUUCCCCAUCAUGCCCAAGUUCGGACUGCCCGACCCGCCCGUGGGGGCGCUCAAGGUGCGGGGGAGGGAGAGGAGGAGGAGAGAGGAGGGGGGGGGGAAGGGGGAGGAGGGGAGGGGCAGGAGAAGGGGGCGAGAGGAGGGGACCAUGGACAUGGAUGUGCCGGGCCGGGGUGCAGUGCGAGGCAUGGACGAAGCCUUCCCGCUGGCCCCUCUGCCGCCCAAGCCUUGCCUGCACACGGACCUCCCGCCUGUUGUGUCCUCCCUCGCUCGUGUCUCCCUCGCGUGUUGUGUCCUCCCUCGCCUGUGGCCGCGGUGUCCUUUCCCCCCCAUACAACAACCUGUCAACAUCAGCUCGUCUCGUUUAAUAUCAUGCAUGGAACCCCCCUGCGGAACCCCCCUGCGGAACCCCCCCUUGUCAAUCAUGCAUGGACCCAUCCCCCCUUGUGGAACCCCCCCGCUCUGCGUGUGUGUGUCCGCAGGUGACCAUCAUCAAGCUGAACAGCAUCCGCGGCGGCGACGACCUGUACGUGCGCAGCGAGGUGCGCAAGGGCCGCACGCAGCAGACCCGCACCAUCGACAACUGCCGCGACCCCGUGUUCAACGAGGAGUUCAACCUCAUCGUGGACAGCUUCAAGGACGACGUCCUCAAGCUGCAGGUGAGGCGGGGCGGGGCGGGGGUUUGGGGUUUUUUGGGGGGAAUGUUUCCACAAGCCCAUGAGAAGGCAGAAACACAAGAGCGAGGAGUGCAUGGGAUGCAAGUGCAAAGAGCGAGGAAGAGGGGUGGGCGGCAUGGGGAUAUGUAUCCGAGCCCAAUGGGUAAGUCUCAUCAUGGUCAGAAAGCCCACCCCACAGCCACGACAACGCGGGGCAAGCACGCCGGGAAUGACCAUCAGGCUCGGGCAUGUUGUGGUCGUGGGCGUCGGUAGGCGGUAGGGCAGGUCCAGGUUUCGGCGCCAGCUCCGCACAUGGCCAUUCGGGUGGAGUGGGUUGGGCGGGUGGGUGGCUGGGUGGGUUGCGUGAGGCGGGGCGGGGCAUGGGGCAGCGUGGGGGUUACGAGGACCAAACCCACAGUACUGCAAGUAUGCUGCACUGCCAGCUGCUGGACAACGCAUACGGGGGUGGGGGACACGGGUGGGGGUUUGGGGUUGGGGAGGGAGGUGAUCCAAACCCAUAGCAACAUCUAGCCAAGAAUGCAAGGUCCAGUGGCAAUGGAGUGCGCGGGGCCUGCAAGCCGGAGCAGGCGGGUAUGGGGAUCGAAGGCGGCGGUCUACAGAGCCAGAUGGCCCCCAGGGCAGGUGUGCGGUCGGGGCAGGAGGUGCGUGUGGAGGCGGCGGCGUGGGCCUGGUGCGCCUCGCUGCCGCAGGUUGUCCCGAGUACUCAGGGGCGCGAGUAGUCGGUCACGAGGCUCUCGAGGAGGCAACCCUGGAAAUCGUAGUUACACACACACGCGCGCGCGUAUACACACACACACACACACACACACACACACACACACAGACGGGCGGGCGGGGGGGCUUCGUUUUACAUUAUACACACACACACACACACUGACGCACACACACACACACGUGACUGCAGGUGUGGCGUGACGACAUGGGCUGGCAGGACACGCUGCUGUCGGAGGUGGAGGUGCCCUUCCGCAACGUGAGCCACAGCGAUGAUGGGUGGGAGGGAGGGGAGGAGCAGGAGGAGGAGGGGGCAGCGAUGCAGCGACGGGGUGUGGGCCGGGGUUGGGGUGCGGGCCAUGGCCAGGGUCGGGGUUGGGGCGCGGGCCUGCUGUGCAGGGGGUAGGAGGGGUGCUGGUCAGUGCUGUGGGACUAGUGGCGCUGGCGCUGCUGCACCGCCCGGCCCGGCAGCCUCACCAUGUCGUGCCACGUGCCACCCUACCCCCACCUUUCCUGUGCUAAUUAUGAGUGGAACCCCGCCCCGCCCCACCCCCCAGAUGGUGUGCAACGCCGCCGGCAUCCCCGAGUUCGACGAGGAGGGCAAUGAGAAGUACACGGUGCGUGUGUGUCUUUGUGCGUUUGUGUGUGUGCGUGUGUGUGCACAUGUGUGCAUGGGCCUGGGCCUGGGUCUGGGCCUGGGUGACUGGAGGCGCUUUCAAGGGCGCAUCGUCCACCCGGAAAGCAGUGGAUGUUGCGGCCACUUUGCCCAUCGCCAGGGUCCAGCCGGCCCACGCCCCACCCCACCACCCGCGCACCUGCUUUCCAAAAUUGCCGCCCUCACCCCACACCACACCACACCCAUCACACACCCCAUCACACCGCCAUUUGUUUACUCGACAGAUGGCCGACUUCGUGAAGGAGACAAAGACGCUCACGCUCAAGCUGCGCCGCUACCGCAAGAACCGCGCCUCGGUGAGAGAGGAGCGCCCGCGCGGGGCUUGCGGGCGAGUUGGGUAGUGGGCAGGAGUGGCAGCGCUGGGGAGCCUUGCGGCGUCGCGGGGCUGCGUGCACCUGAAACCUUUGCCCCCCUCCACUGCACAGAACAUGAAAUCUUACUAGAACAGAUUGGCAAAACCAAUCCUUUUAAUUACCGACCUUCACACAGAAAUCCGCGACCAUGGCGGGCAACCGCAGCCUCACCAUGGCCAGCGGCGCCGCGGCGCCCGGCGGCGCGCCGGCGCCUCCUCCUCCUCCCGAGAAGACCAGCUCGCGCCUCAAGCGCCUGUUCACGCUGAAGAAGAAGCCCAAGGAGCUGCCGCCGGCGGCGCUCUCGGGCGCCUCGGACAGCGAGCUGCAGGAGGGCCCGGCGGCGGUGCCCAGCGGCCGCAUACAGACCAUGGGUCGUGCGCCGAGCAUGGGACGGUCGGGCUCCGCCAUCGGCGGCGACGCGGUGGUUGACGCCAAAGAGGAGUGCGGCACCAUCACCGUCAAGGUGGGGGUCUGGGGGGAUUCGGGGGUUGGGUGGAGGUGGCGGCGGGGGUAGGGGUGGCGGUGGUGGGUUUGGGUGAGGGGUGAGGGGUGAAGGUUGCUAAAGGGCGCACCUCACCUCCCACGCUUCUUUGCCCAAACCCCGACACAACACCGCCUAACACUCACCGCCCCGCACCUCCCCGCCCCGCACCUCUGGCACUGUGCAGCUGACGUUCAUCCCCUUCAACAAGCCCGAGUACGACGACAUCCAGGUGGGGGUUCGAGUGGGCGGGCGGGCGGGAUGGGGUCGUGAGACGUGUGUGUGUGUGUGUCACGUGUGCUGUGUCCCGGCUGUGCCGUGGCACCUGUGGACCGCCCCCAUGCCGCGCGGACAGUCUGCAUCCCUUCUCCUUGCAUCGUCGUGCUCCCCCACGCCUCUCCCUCCCUUCCCUUGGGCGACGAUUCGGUGACAAUUAAUCAUGAACGUAACCCCCUCUCUCCCUCCUCCUCGCGCCCCCUCCCGCCCCAUGUAAUCACUCCGUUCUCGCUCCCCCUCUACUUCUCUACGCUUCUCUGUACCAAUCUUUACAAUCCCCCUCCCGCCCUCCCUCCCCCGCCCCCCUCCCGCCUCCCGCCCCUCCCCCAGGCUGAGCGCGAGGUCAAGUCCAAGGUGGCCGACCCCUACCGCUCCAUGUUCCCCGCGCCGCCCGGCCGCACCCUGGCGCUCAUGGGCGACGGCGGCGGCGGCGCCGCAUCGCCCCUGUCCACCGUGAGUGGGGUGGGGAUGGUGGGGUGGUGGUGGGGGAGGGUAGCCGUUCAUGUGUGACUCACAAUCUCGCUCAUGUAAAGUGGCGACGUCCAGUAGUACCCGGGGGAGGUGCCGUUCAUGUGAGGGAAAGGGAGGGGUUCGCGGAUGCUGGCGACUGGUGUUGUGUGCUGAAUUUAGGGAAAGAACCUGUGCGGUGCGUCCGGAUUGCACGAAUGAAGUCCGACUCCACCCCCCACCAUCCACCCCCCACCAACCCCCCUCCCUAUACGCUCCCCCCCCUACGCGUCUACCGUACUCUGCGACUGUACCUGCCUACGACUUCACUUCUUGAUUAAUCAUGAUUGUAACCCCCCCUCCAAAACACGCACACGCAGGGUGUUCUGACGGUGCAGCUGGUCCGCUGCAUCGACCUGGCCCCCGAGGGCGCCAAGGACCUGGCCACCUACGUGCGCAUGCUGGUCACCAACGACACCAAGGACGAGGAGCAGGUGGGGGGGCAGCGGAAGGGAGGGGAGGGGAGGAAAGGAAAGGAAAGGAAAGGGAAGGGAGGGGAGGGGACGGGACGGGAGGGGAGGGGACGGGAGGGGAGGGGACGGGAGGGGAGGGGAGGGGCAGGGGCCCUUUUGUAACCGUUCCCAAACGGAGGACUGGGGUGAGAGUAGUGUAGAGUGGGGUGGACUGCAAACCUCGAUCAACUGCACCCCCGGUCUGCCAGUCCAUUACCGCACGCCCCUCUUUCCUUCCUCUCGCACCUCUCACGUACCUCGCGCCUGCACCCAACGCCAACGCGUCCCCACCGCAGACGUCCACUGUCAUUGUGAACGAGACGUCGCCGCGCUGGGGCGACAAGUUUGACUUCGUGCUCAUCCCCUCCAACUCCGAGCUGCACAUCCAGGUGAUUGUGAUUGUGACCGUGAUGGCAGGCUGGGUGCGGUUGUUUUUUACCGUUCCCAGUAAAGGAACAUAGACACGGAGAUGCAUGGCAGGACACGUUGGUUGAAGAUGGCGAAUGGUACUGUUUCGUCAGGACGCUGGCGGGAGUGGCGGCGGGCGGCAGCACUGGGGCUGGGGAUGAGGGUGGCGAUGGGGCCGACCCCAGAUCCUACGUGCUCUGAUCAACCAUAGCACACACAUACAUAGACACAGAACGGGCUUUCGUUUCUUUUUUACACACACACACACACACACACACACACACACACACACACACACACACACGUUCUUCCGUUGUGCUCCUACUCCCUAACACAAUCCCACUUGCACACUCGUGUUCACGCGCACCCACGCACGCGCACACCCACGCAGGUGUUCAACAAGCAGGGCAUGCUGGGCAACCUGGUGGGCUCGCUGUUCAACCGCAAGAAGGAGGUGAGGGGGCAGCGGAGGAGGAGGAGGAGGAGGAGGACGAGGCGGGGAGGAGGUCCACCCACUGGGGGGACGGAGGUUCCGGUUCAGGCCCCUGGCGGCCGCCGGGGUGGGGCGCGGCACGUAGCAGCGCAGGACGCAGUGCUGCCAUGAGCUGCUGCUGCUGCUGCGGGGCCGCGCUCAACUCCUCAGCCCAUUCCCGUUCUAUACCGUAUCUCAUGGUCACGCCGGCACCCCCUCUCGCUGACGCCCCACGGCCCACCCUGUGCCCCCACGCCGUGCCCCUCCCCUCCCACUUCCCCCACGCACUGCAUUCGUGGGUUGGGCGACGAUCCCUUGACUCCCGUGUUGGGACGUAUUGCAUUGGGCUCGGGCAAAUGACCCCCUGUUCCCCCCUCCCUCCAACACCCUCUACCCGCUCCGUCCACCCGCCCACAGGACAAGGACCCCAUCCUGGGCAAGGUGCUCAUCCGGGUGGAAGACGUGGCACGCAACGGCCGCAUCAAGGAGACCUGGUCGCUGCAGGUGGGGGGGCUGUAGAUACCAGCACUAACUGAACCAACCCAAGGGGGCGUGGAAGGGGUGGGCGUGUGCGGGGGCGUGUAUGCUGCCUGGUGCGCACCCCGUUCUUAGCAGGACCGCUUGUUGGUCUCGCCUGCUGCCUGGCCCUCACUGCCGCUUGCCGCCUCCCCUCGCUUUCCGCCGCGACCGCAGGACGCGGAGCGUGGCUACAUCGAGCUGAACCUGAUCUGGCAGACAUGCCACGUCAGCCGCAACCAGCUCUAAGCCGCGGAGGGAGCAGGAGGUGCAAAGGUGGAGCGGCGGAGGCGCCUGGGCAGGGAGGGAGGAGGGAGGGAGAGGGCGCUGCUGGAGGGGGGGGGUAACUCUGAACCAAUCCCGUAAGGAAACAGUCGCGCUGCAAGGAGAAACUGCAGCCGCAUAUGCGAGCUGGAGGGGGAGGGCAUGUUGUGGAUGCAGGGGCGGUGGCGGGCGACGUGACUGACUGCUGCAUGGGGUGCGCGGGUGGCUAGGAGGUACAUAAGCGAGGGAGUGGUGGCUGUGCAGGCCGCGGCGCUCUGCGGCGCUCCGCAGGCUGCACGGGUGGGUGAGGUCAUGGCGGCGGUGCGGGGGAGGGUGGUUACGUGCGUGGUGGAGUGUGUGCAUGUUGGAGGGUGGCAUCGUUCCCGCUUUCGCUGAGCGCGGGCUCUCCUGGUAGGCUUGGGGCCCAAAUAAAAUACCGUUUGUGCGCUUCGUUUGUGGCUUGUGCACGUGACUAUCGGAUUGCAUAUGUGACUCGCUGCUCGAAAUCUUCCUGGCCGAUUGAGUAAUGCGCCAGCUGCUGCCGGCGCUGCUACGUACGGCUUGGUACGGAUUGUGACUUGGUGGGUUUCAAGAGCGGUCGUCUGGUCUGCUAGCUGACUGCCCAACCCCAAGGGCACACGGCUUGAUCUGCCCCGACGGGGUGGGGUGCAUGCGCCUCGUCACCGUGUGUUUGGGGGGGAUUCUGACAGCGUGGCCACAAGUCCGCGAGGGGCCCGGAGCCCAGGACUGCUGUGGCUGCAGCUGCAUUGCACAUGCGCGUGAGGGCGUGAGGGCAGCCGGUAGAGCUUGUGUGUGUGUGUGUGUGUGUGUAUAUAGCGGACAACAAGAGACGUCAUGACAGGGCUGGGCUGUCCUUUGACUGCCAGCCGCAGCUGCAGCUAUGUAAAUAAACGCGUAGCGGAGUCCGCGCAUGGACACACGAAUGCCAAUGUCCGACGCCCGUGCUCGGGCGCGUUCGUGUGUGUGAUGGGACAGGGUUAAGGCGGAUUGGUGAUUCCCGUAGGGUGCAGCUGAUUCCCAGGCCCCAGCAGAUGGCAAACUAUUUGCGACGGCAGCGCAUGAGCGCGCGGCUGCUCGAACGCCAAGCGUGUUCGUAUUCAUAGCUGGGUUACCGUGUUAUCCUUGGUGUUAUCCACCCCGCUCGUGCAGUCACGCACGCUCAAGAUUAGACAUCACAGGGACGUGGAGGUGCACACAGCGCACACUAAACACCUAAUCAGGAGCAAGCCGGGCGUCCAAUCCUAUCCAUUUGCGUGGAAACGGCAUCAGCACUCGAGCAACUUGUCUGCCAGAAAGUGAAGCACGUUUGCAACUUAGUGGUGCUCCUCUGCCACCUCAACCGACCUGCUGCAAUAUACCCUACUGCUUGAAAGCGCACCAUCUCGUACAUAGUCAUUAGGAGAUCUAUCCGUCCUCGCUUGGCAUUUGAUCGACACACAUACGCAAGCUUUCAUUCCGCAAUGCAUACAAAUGCAGGGUUGCCUAACAAAUAAGGAGUCAGCCAAGCACGCGCCAGAACGGCGACGCAUGAGCACUGAGUACCUAGAGUGCUGAAGCCCGGGGCAACACAAGACAAGGGAUCCUUACCCCCAUACACGUUCCAGUUGGAAUCAAGCGGGCAAUCGGCACGCCGCUACCUCACUGGCGGGGCACCGCCACACAACAUGUUAACACCCUCGCUUUCCGCGUCUUGCUGCAAACCGCCGUGCAAUCUCUGUGGACUUCAUCAAUUCUAGUCGAUGUGUAUCUUUUCUUAUCAUGGUAAUGAUGAAGGACAUGCAAGCAGGUGCGUUUCUGCGGUAUGGCGAUGCGUACGGCGCCCACCACGCAACGCGUACAAUGGCAUGGAGCAUGGCAACGCAAUUACGGCCGGCGACCCGGUCAAUGAUAACUAUGAAACAGCCCCCCUACCUCGUAACAAAGAAUGACAGGAAACCCACGUAUAGCAAAUGCGCGGGGAAGUGCCGAGCAAUGCUUGCUGCACCUUGCACGCAUUGCCUUUCUCGCCGUGCGUGCAUUGACAUGACGAUUCCGCGAUGCAAUCUCGCAGCUGCUUCCGCUCCUCUGCAGAAGAUCCCACCAGUAGUGCUGAGUGGCAUCCCACAAACGCCACCACGCACAAAUGCCACACAGCCACAGUACACUGAUGCCACAGGUCUACAGCGCACGGCCGCCCCCACACGCCGCAGCUGCGGUCCUGGGUGCAAGAGCCCAAUGCCCCACCCACAAUCUCCCGCUACACCUUGUCCUGUGGCUGCUGCUGCGGCUGCUGCUGCUGCUGCUGUUGUUGUUGUUGUUGCUGCUGCUGCUGCUUCUGCUGCUGCUCACGCCAGUACUGGUAGUUGAACUCAAAGCAGCUGAUCAAAGGCGUGGCCCCAGGGAACGCCGAGGUGAGCGCACGCACCAGUGGCAACGCCACGAAUUCGAAGAAUCCCACCUGGCUCUUGGACACGCCUUGCUUGGCGCGGUCGAAGAGCGGACUGAUGGGAAGCCCUGCCUCCCUCUCCUUGUCGCCCUGCCGGAAGAACUCCUCCUCUAACACACCCAGCCACCUGCGUGCGGCGGGGUAGGAAGCGGAGUGCGUGUGAGGGCGAGGGCGGCGGGCGGGCGGGCGGGCGGGCGGGCGGGCGGGCGGGGGAUACGGUGCCGGUACACGCAGUGUUCUAGGUCCCACCCACACGUGCCAAUCGCCCCUGUUGGGGUGCAUUCCACAUUGGGACUUCUUUGUAUUCCAGACUUUCUUCACACAUAUGGUCGCAAGCACGUAACGCAACCCACACGCUCACCGCUUGUGCACGGGCAGUGUUCCCGCCAGGUGCCCAAUGUCCGCCACCUUGAGGCAGAUCUGCAGAGCCAGCAGCCGCUGGGACUCGUCCGCGGGCGGCAGCGGCGGCGGCGCCGGCACCGCCGCGGCCUGCGCAGCCGCCGUCGGCCGGCUGGCGGGAAGCGACUUGCGCGCGAAGCGCGACGUCUGCUGGUGCUGAGCCGCCGCGCGUGGCGAUGAGGGAGAUGGCGGCGCCUGCUGCAGCACGGAGGCAGUUGGUCCGACAGACAUGGCACCAAAGGCACCGGGGCCACGGGUGCGGCCCUCGGCGCUCUCAAACGAUUCACCAGCGGGGGAGUCGGACGCCCGCUGCACACUUGGCUUGUUGGCGUUAAACCUGCGAGGCAGGCAUAUGCGGAACAGCGUACACAUGCAUUACGGCAGGGCCCCGCGGCGCAUGAGCGGGCGCGCACAAUCGUUAUGUUGGCCCUCCCGUUGAGGUUUAGCGCUUUCAUUCCCGGGCUGUGAGGAAGGCUAUAGCGCUUAGCAAACACCCUUCACUGCAUGUGCACAUCCCUGGCAGUGGGCACGGGGGCUGCAACGAGGUCAGGCUUGCGUAUAACUUCACACGUACUUACAUGGACGGGGGCCCUGACUUGGUCCGGUCGCCAUCCGUACUCUUUGACAUGAUACCAGACAGAGUCCGGCCCUUCUUGCGGCCGCCGCCAGCACCAGCAGCACCGCCUGCACGCGCAAAACCACCGCCGCCGCCGCCGCCACCCGCCGCGCCGUCAGCCGGCGGCGACGCUGUUGCAGCGGCCGCCUGCUGCUGGUUCUGGUGUUGAUGCUGCUUGAGGCGCUGCGCGCUGACGGCGUUUGUGAACUGCGACAGCAACGCGAAGUGCUGUUUCAUGUCCGUGCCCAUUACCAGCUCCACCACCUGCAUGCAUACGGUAAUAAGCGGCAGGCGGCACACGUGGAAGGUAGGGGAUGAACCAAAGGGCAGGUUGGGGUUGGGUUCGGGGCUCCGCCCCACUGCUGCAGCAGUGUGCGUAUGACCAAGCAUACACACCCAUAUGCUCAAGUGGCGAUUGCCACAAUGAUGGAUGCAUGGGAUUGAUGGGACCCCAGCGUAACACGGGACAAUUCAAGCUACCGCGCACAAGCCACACGUGCACCGACCCACCUGCUUACGGAAAGCGAUGCGCUGCUCCCGGCUGAGGCCCUCGAACGCGUCCAGCUCGGGCCGCUCCGCCAUGAGCGUGAAGGCGGCGGAGGCGUGGUGGUUCUCCAGCGGCGAGCGGUCAUUGUAGCGCAGCGCCAGCGGGUGCGAGGUGGCGACCAGGAAGUCGCCGGUCAGGCCGGGGUGCCCGAAGUCGUGGAUGAUCUGCGGUGCGCGUGUGUGCAUGUGCGCAAGCAGUGUACCAAGCAUCAGCACCAGGGGUGAGAAUCACGCCACCGGUGCGGCAUUAUGACACACACACACACACACACACACACACACACACACACACACACACACACACACACACACACACACACAGGACCGCUGCCGCUCGCCGUACGUACGUACCGCCGAGAAGUACAGCGCCAUGAGGCCGAGUGUGUCCACGUGAUGUACGGUGACGCCGGCCGCGUGCGCCAGCACGUGUGUCGUACGCAGCACGUCGGCGGCGUGUGUGGCGUUGUGGUAGGGGUUUUCGGAGCUGUAGCCGGCCUCGAUGGCCCGGAGCAGCCUGUGUGUGCGUGCGCGUGGAAAUUGUGGUGUGGGGUGAGGUGUGAGUGCGUGUUCGGGGGUGAAGGUGGCUGCUGAGGUGGAUGGGGGCGCGCAUUUGGACGUGCAUGAAACUAGUUAGCGCUCGAUGGGUGGUGAUCACCAUCCGUUGGCUUCACAGGCAUAGCAGGUCUGGGACGCUAGCCGCGUACGCUUGCCACCUCCCUACCUAGCGAGCAUUCAGCCACCAUCAACAUUGUAUGCAUUCAGACAAGUGAGCGAGCCCACGCACCGGAUGAUCUUGAGCGGCUUGAUGCGGAAGUGUUUGAGUAGCCCCUGGCGCUGGAACAGGAAGAAGGCCAGGGCGCUGAGCGGCCGGCCGGCGGUGGCGCCCGCCAGUGCCCACAUGUCGUACUGCAGGUCGUCCGCCCGGGCCAACAGCGACUCCACCUGAUGAGGGAGGAGGAACCGGUCACGUGGAGUUAGUUGGUUACGACCGUUGGUGGUGCAUGGCUGGGCCAGGGUCGGUUAUGUGCGAUGUCAGUCCGUCCUGUUUGGAAGCACGUGGUGCGUGGGACAUGCUCAACACGGCAUAGCACACGUCGCGUGGCGUACGAGUCACGCACCUUGUCGAGCAUGGGUGCCCGCAGCGCUAAGGCCUCCGCCGCGGCCGCAGCAGUCGGCACCAGCACCGGCGUCGCGGGCCGCACCAGCUCCUCCCGCACGCGCACGUGGGCCCCGCUGGCAGUCGCCGUCAUCUCCACACCUCCGCCCGCCAUCAGCAACCUGCCGCCACCGCCGGUCAGUACGUUAUAACUGCCGUACGAAUUGCUCAACGCAGUGUUAGUGCGGUAGCGGGCGGGCGCGGCAGCCGCGGCGGAGGCCCGGCGCCGGCUGCUACCGUCCUUGCCGCUGCCAGCAGACACGAGCAGCCUCGCAACGUCCACCACAGCAGUCUCCUCGCCCGCACGGAGGAGAUGGCCGUGCCGGGUGCCGAAUGGCGACGUCACCUCCCUAAAGUCGGCUGCGGCGGCGGCGGCCUCCGUCGCAGCGUCUGAGGGCAUUGCCUGAAGUACUGCUGGCGCGGGCCCCGCCGCCGCCUGGUGCGGCUGGCGCCUCAGCCCAUCAAUGGAGGCCCGCAGACUGCCGCUGCCGUUGCCGUCGCCGCCCGCACCGGCCCCCGCUCCGCCGCCGCUGCCACGCGGGGUGCCGCCCCCCGCGGCUACAGACCGUGGCGGGGGCGGCGGCGGCAGGAAGGCGCAGAACGUGUCAGCGCCCUCCUCCAGCAAGGUGGCCGCGGCCUGCUGCGGCGUUUGCACCAGCAGUGCCGCGGCCAGAGAAGGUGCGCUUGCGGGACCGUUGCUGUGUCGGCUGCGCCGCAGGCUCCAACCAACUCGAGACAGGCUGGUGCGCUGCUCGUUGACGCUGGCAGGAGAGGCAGAAGCAGCGGCAGUGGCCGCAGCGGCAGCACUGCCGCCGGGCCCUGAAUCCGCCGUCGCUGCGGGCGUUGUCAGUACUGGGGGCACUGCUGGCACCUGGCUGCUGCCGCCCCCUUGCACAGGCGACUGCGGCUCAGUCGCGGGCAGCACGCCAGCGACGCUGCCGGCUGCCGCUGAGGCCAACGAGGCGGCGGCACUGGGUCGCGGCGAACCUCCUCCCGCAGCAGCAGCCGCCGGUGCUACGGCUGUAGCAGCCGCGGGUGCGGGGGGCUGUAGCUGUAGCUGCAGAAUAUGGUUGUAGCUGCUCACAGCGCUGGAGCGCCGCCGGACAAAGGAGGCCAGCAGGCCUGCGGCGAAUGGGGAACCCGCCGUGCUCGUGUUGUACGGCAUACUGCUACGGCGGCCGGAGCCGCCUGCAGGUCGAGGAGCCUCCACACCACCAGGAAAACCGGCAGCAGCAGUAGCGGUGGCCGCCGCCUGCAGCGGAGCGGCGGCCGCCGCUGCCCCACGGGGCGCCGCAAGCCCGCCGUUUGGGCUGCCGUUGGCAGGCGCUCCCACGCUCCAUUGGUGCAGAAGUGCCACAAGGGAUGGCGGCCGCGGCAGCGUCGGCGGAGACGACGGUCUAGAUGGGUAUGGUGGGCUCGCGGCGGCGGCGGCGGAGAGCGCCACCGCCGCGGCGGCGGCCCAGCUGCCGCCACCUUUGUUGCCCCUGCUGCCGGUCCUGCCACUGCCACCGUCGUCGAGGCUGCCACCCUGACUUUCAGGGUCCGUGUAGGUUGCGCCUCCAGCGGCUGUUGCUGCCGCCGUUCCUGUUAUGGUUGCCGUUGCUGUUGCGGCUGUUGCACCUGUUGCACCCGCGGUCGUUGCCAUGUCAUGGAUGCUUUUGUUGCUGCUUUCACUGUGGUCAGCGGCCAUGAUGACUGAAAGCGCGCCCCGCAGCGUCCGGCACUGGCCCGCCGCCGCCGCCUCGCGCUCGCGCCGCAGCAUCAGCAUGUGACGCGUGGUGGGAGUCACGUUGCUGAGGUCAUGGAUGAAACCGCUGCUGCUGUCACACGUGUCACCGUCCUCGCCGCCGCCAGCUGUGCCGUUGCUGCCCUGGCUGUCAUUAUUGGUGAUGUUGUUGUUGACAGUUCCGGCUGUGUAAUACGUGGAGCUGUGUCGCCGCGCAGCCGCCGCCGGCCGCUGCUGCUGCCACAGCUGCUGCAGCAUAGCGCUCAUGUUGUCAAAGCUGCUGCUGUCACCGCCCAGGCUGAAGUAUUCACCAUACCCGCCCAGGCCGCCGCCCCCGGCUCCGUCAUCGUCCACAACGCACGUGCCUAGCUGCCGCAUGAGCGCUUGCGCCACGUCAGACUGCGUGGUUUGGAAAGCGCAAGGAGUGAGGGGCGGAUCGUCAUUAAGGACAGUACAAGGGGCUGUGCCCUGGCGACGCACGCAAAGCGGGCAAAGGAAACAACGGCGGCUGCGCCCAGCGGCCAUCGGCAUACAUCUAUCGCCCGCCGGCCCCCACCCACCUCCAGGUUGGCGUUGCGCAGCAGCUGGCCGCCCAUGCCCAGCGGGCGGUACCAGUCGGCGUUGCGCAGCAGCAGCGAGCGCAGCACCACCACCUGGCGCAGGUCGGGCGCCUGGCCCGCAAGCAGCUCCGCCAGCAGGUCCAUCAGCAGCUCGGCGGGGCUCUCUGCGGCCGCAAAAGCAGCAAGCCAUGGGUUGGUGGGUGGCGGGCGUGCGGCAUGAGGCAUGCAAUGAGGAGGACAGCAGGAGGGCAGGUGCGCGGUGCCCGGCCAAGGCGAUGCUCGUACGUCUCAGCAGAUUCAAUCCGUAUAUUUGGGGCACAGCCGCAGACCACAGACCUUGCUUGCGCGGGCAUGCCGGCGGUGCCGGUGCCAGUGCUGGCCGUGUCUCAUGCGCACACGCACCUCCCUCUCCCCUCUGCUCCCCUUGCCCUUCCACAUACGCACAAACGCAUAUACACAGACACACACGCAACCUCACACGCACACACGCAGCGUCACAGCCACACACGCACGCACCUGGAAUGGGGCCGGUGCUGUGCUUCAUGUGGUGCUCCACCACGUGGGCGCUGCGCAGGCCGCUGCUGAGCAUGUCGGGUGGCAGCAGCGCCUCCAGAAGCAUGGCGUGACGCCGCCUGAGAGCGGUUACAUCCAUGAUUAUUCAAGAAGUGAAGUAAGGGAAAGGUGAAGCGGGGAUGAAAUUAAUGGGUAGGUGUUGCGCAAGCAGGCGGGUGGCCGGACUGGCGACAGCUAUAUAUGUAUACACCUGGCAAGUAAACGCAGCUGCAAUCGGUCACGCGAUUGGCUGGCAUGGGCAGGCUGGCCUAGACAGGUAUUACGUAGGCCAAGGACAAGGAGAGCAACACGCUACAUGCUGACAGCCGCGCAUCGCUAGCCAUCCACACGCACUAGCUGCGCAGCCGGCAUCACGCAAUCCGGUAUGGUGGGAAAUACAGGCGCUCAAAUCCAAGCUACUGCUGAUGAGCGCUAUGCACUCAAAGGCACACAUGGAGGAGGUGCCCACACCUGGAGAUGAGCAGUCCGAACAGCAUGACGGCCGCAAUCGCGGCCGCCACCACCACGGCAGCCAUGGCGCCGCCAGUCCACACCGGCAUCCAGCUGCCGCCGUCCGCAGAUGCCGGGCUCACUCGCAGCACCCACUGCAUGCAGCAGGCGCGUUAUCGCGUGUUGGCAAGAAGUGCAAACCGACACAAAACACGCAGCAGCAGCAAUCCAGCCGCAUCCGCACCAGCUGGCCUCGCCCAUCCGGGUGUCUAGCUAACAUACACACACGCACACACACUCUGAAACACACACACACACACACACACAGUCUGAAACACACACACACACACACACACAGUCUGAGACACACACACACACACACACACACACACACACACGCACACACACUAAAACACACACACACACACACACACACACACACACACACACACACACACACACACACACACACACCUGCGCCCCAGGCAGGCUGAUCUGCACCUCCACCACCGCCACACCACCGCCGGGCGCAGGCGGCGGCUGCGCGCUGACAGCCAUGAUCCUGCCGGCGUCUGUGGUGACCUGGUAUUGGUAGCCCAGCUCCGGCAGGGCCCGCAGCGCCGCCGCUGCGGCGCUAAUGUGCUCGUAGUCCGCCAGGCUUGUCAGGGACACUGUGCUGCCUUCCGCGCUGUGGGUGGCGUCGCUGGGCGCGGGCGUCGCCGCCGCCGCCUCAGCGGCCACAUCCGCAAAGGGGCUCAUGUUGAUGACUGCAACCGCCUGCACGCACGAUGAGAGAAGGGGCCACAUGCACGACCAAGCAGGGUUUGUAGCUGGCACCCAUUCAUACAUACUGAAGCGCCUGCUGCGUUUCGCGGGGCUCUUAUCUUCCGUACCCGAUGCGUUCCAAAGGAGCAGCCGGUAGCCCCGCCCGCACGCUUUCACAGCUUCAUCCGAUGCGGCAAACUGGGCCGGCACGGCGGUGCAUGGACGCGAGUGGAACUCACCAUCCCCCAGAACAACCUGCCCUCUGCCGUCGCUGCCGCCUCGUCGAGUGCCUCGCUUGGAGCGCUGUACGGCUGAAAGGCGCACAGCGCGCCGCACGAGGGGUUGGGGGUGUCGGGGCGCCCGAAGGUCUCCCCAGGGUUUGACACGCCGUCCACGAACACCGCCUGCCCUACGACGAGCACACGCACCCCCGGCACCGGCUCCACGGGCCCGUCAAUGGAGAUGUGACCGUUCGCCAAACUGCGCUGAACACUGUCUCUUAGCUCAGCGAUGGGGGCUGCGCAGCAGCAGAGCCAUCAGGGACAUACACAAGGACACAGGCGACUAAGCGGCGGGUCGGCGGCACGUGAUGAGCUGCUGCUGAUCGCUAGCGUUGUAAUUGAAACGGAUUGGCAGCAAUUGCAGGCAGCAGCGGCUAGCGCUACCCGUAAAUGCCAAAGCAUAUUCAUCCCAGUGCGCGGCAGCGGAUGCCCGGAACUCACUUGCGAAUAUGUCGGUGCCGAUGGGUGAAGCCACCGACGCGUUUAGCGGGUACGACAACCGCAGCACGCCCGCUGGCAGCAGCUGCAGGCUCAUGAGCGCAUUGCCGGGCACCUGCGGCAGCAGGCCCACGCAAGGCAGGGGUGCGGAGAAGGCUGUGAGACCCGUGCCGAUUUACCUUACAUACGUGCUGCGUUGUUGCCAGUUCCCAGGAGUGAGCAAUCGCAUGUUUCACAGAAAACAUUGUGAUGAGCGUAAUUUGGUUUUUUGGGCGAGCUGCGCCAGGUCAGCAGGCGCGGGUUGGAGGGGCGUGCCAGCAUGCAGGUCCAGCGUGGAGCCAAGCGUGGAGCCAAGCGUGGAGCCAAGCGUGGAGCCAAGCGUGGAGCGUGCAUAUGGGAACGUGCGUGCGCGCCAGCAUACAUGAGCAUGGGGCAACCCUUUCCCCAGCCUACAUCGAGCGACCCAUCCAGCAGCAGCAGCACCUCGCUCGCUCACCGUCUCCAACAGGAGCGGAGCGGACGAGUUAAACAUGCCCGAGACGGACGCAUAGUCUGGGGCGCGGCGGAUGUGGGCAGCCAGUAUGUCCACGGGUAGGAAGGCAUCGAUCAGGGCGCCCCGGUACUGCGCCGCCGCAUUGCGCGCCACACUCUCCGCCUCCUCCUGCGGUACAGUACGGUACGGUAAGUUCCGAAUUGCCGCAAGCGUUGCUUACUUUAUCGUGUCGGCUUGGGCGUGCAACCUAGGGGUGCCGUACACACACGCGCGCAGGGCCAUGCUGCAUGCAUGCCCGCAGCACGUGAGCAGUCUGCGCCUCUAUCUAAGCGGCGCUAAAGCGGCCUCCUACCCGCACUCCAGGCCGGAGUAACUACCGGUAAUGUCCAGUGCUAGCAUGCGUAUUUGCAAGGAGGGCCGUGCCUCCCGCGUACCUACCUGCGUGCCCCCUGCAUAAAACAAAUGGACACCUUCGCCAGUUCGGCCCCCCUCCUUCUAUCUUACCCCCGCCCCCGCCCCCAGCACGUGCCCACCACCGCGCGCCCACCCUGAAGUUAUCAGCCGCAUUCUCAGCGCCGUAGUGCACGGCCCAGACGCCCACUCCAGCGAGGACGGCGAACAGCAGCAGUGGUGCACAUAUCGUCCAGGGGCUGGACCUCACAAUGGCACACAGCGCCUGCGGGGUGCACGAAACGCACACUGUUCAGUUGAACGCGGAUUGGUCCUUGUAUCUAGUAGAUGGGGUUUACAUAGUAAUGUGAGGAAGGACCCGUGCUUCGACGGGGUUAGCGGGUUUGGGGCGGCCGGCAGGCCCCGAUGGAUGCGGAAUUAUGGAUGCUUCCGGCGGUCAAGCUUCGGCCAGAGCUGUAGCCCCAAGCUGAGCGUCCUACCUUGCUAUUGCUUCUGAAUUCUGUCCAAUGACGUCGCCAGGCUUGAUUCCGUUCAGGAGGAGGAGCCUGAAUCGGCUUUCCUCCGCCUCGGCCGGCUGAGUGGUGUAUCUCCCAGCACCGCAUUCGAAUUAUUACUCGUAGCUAGCCGGGAAGCACGCGGCCUGCGCGCCUGGGUUGAUUCCAAUUUGUGAGUUAGGAAACGGCAGCAUUUGUGUAUUGCACGCUGUAGUGAUAGUCUCCAAUAAGAAAGAAAAGCUGCAAUUGUGGGUCACUGACACUACUGUCUGCGAACAAACGAUCCACACAGUACGCAAUUACCAAGCAUGUGUUACCCACCCUGAUGCUCAGUGAACGCGCGCUGCAAGCCGCGUUACGUAUACUUGAAUACGUCAAGAUACAAAGUAAGCAACUGCAGUACGCGACACGCGCUGAGCGCUGGUCGCGCCCGCUUUCCGCCCGACAUGGUCGGAACUUCUGUGCGCCUUUUCGCGCUCUUCACAAUGGCAAACCAGGUGCUGCUUUGAUUCAUUGACUUAAGUUACAGCAUCACUUGUAACUCGAAAAGAGUAGAGAGUGCCUGAGGCGCGGGGGUUGCUUAAAGUGCUACGAAGUGCUCUACCGUGGCGCCCAACCACGGAAGCUGGCCACUUCCCCCGCGUCUCCGAGUUUCGGGGCUCCGAUGACGAGCGUGCUGACAGGCCACAUAGGGUAUACUUCGCCGGUGGAAGAGGCCAAGGGGCUAUCUGAUCUGCACACACCUGCACACACCGGUACCGUCUGCCCUAGCCCGUGGGCCACUUGUGGUCAGGGGGCCCCGUCCGGCGACAUGCCCAGUGCCGUGGACGUGGCUGCAAGGUCCAGGGCCCAUCAGCAGGUGCCUUACCCACCAGGCCACCAGCACUUGAGAGUUGAGACCUUGAGCGUCACGCGGUUAGCUGCUGGCGGCUUGAAAGGGUUCAAGUGUUCUGUGCCAUCAUGCAUCGCCGCUCCACAGCCUGCUCCACUGCCGCCGCAUCACCGACUCCAUUCACCCUGCUAACCUGCUUACAAUUCGCCCACCUCCUUUCAACCCCGACCUCCCGGCAGUCUGGCUGAAUAUACAAUGUUCCACUACAUGCACCUUCCGCAAGACACUUCCUACACGUCCCACGCAUCCUGCAACCCACAGACCUGGACCUCCAAUGACACACGCCAUGCAAUCCCUGAACAAUCUGAAGCUCAACAUGCAUUGCAUCUCUCACAUCACACUCCAUCAGCACAUAUAUUUAAUUGUGCCUGGGGAAUCCCCGCCGGCACGUGCUCCACAUGUUAGUCAUUUAUGCCUCGUGAGUGUCGUGACCUGCUCCAUCAAACUCAAGAAACGCUCAACUCCACUCAACUCCACUCAAUUGCUGCCUGACUUGAUUUGCCCGCUCCUGCUCCAGCUCUGGACCCCAACUGCACGCAUGCGAGCGCUUUGCCGCCUCCUACUGGGCCUUCUUAUCCACCGCCCCGGAGGCCGCCAGCUGCUCUUGCUGCUGCUGUUGCUGCUGCUGCGGCGGCGGCAGCGCGACAUUCAGCUGGAAGCGGCGCGCCAGCAUCCAGUCACGGAGCCACAUGGGCCACCACAGCGCAAACUGGGUCAGCCUGCCACCGGAGCCGGCGCGGUUACGAGGGGCAGGGGGGGGGUAGGGAGGGCCAUGAUGUUGGCCUGUUGCAGUCGCCGGCGGUUUUGCGUUUUGGCACUGGGAAGUUCACUAAGAAGUUCGGCAAUCGGUUUGUAAAUGACGGGUCCCGGGGGUCCAACGUGCAGGCGCCUUACUCAUGGGAAUGUGAAGCCCAUCCUGCUCUCACCUGCCUACCGCCUUCCCCGCCCGCGGUCCCACUUCCAACCGCCCGCCUCCCCCAACCGCCUCACCACACGAAGCCGCCCAGUGAGAAGUGCCGCGGCGGGCUGGAGCCCAGCAGCGUGGCAACCACCUGCCUCGCAAACACCUCUGUGGGCAUGGAGUUGCCCUGCUGGCUCAGAGUGGCACGGCGCCGAAUGGCCUCCGCAAAGGGCGCGUACAUGGAGCUGAAGUGGUCCUCGAAGCGCUGGGCGGGUGGGCGGGUGCGAGGGCGCAAGGGUGUGUGCGUGGAGUAUGUGUGUUAAAGAGCACAAGGGUGUGUGUGUAUAUGUGUGUGUGGGAGGGAGGGCGAGGGUGCAAGGCGGCGAGGGCAAGGUGGCAAACGGAAAGCGGAGGGGCGGCGAAGGCGGAAGAUGAGGAUACCGUAGGUAAUGCGGCAGUUCGGGGGGAUGAGUCCCACCCACGCCCCAGUGUACCCCCACCCAUACCCUCAAACCGGUGGUGUUUACCAUCCUGUUUUCCACAUUGACAGCUAACCCCACAUACCUUGAGGUUGUUCUCGCCAAUGUUGGAGCGUACGGCGCCUGGAGCCAGCAGCACCACCUGCAGCCGUGUGUGCACACCAUGUGUGUGUGUGUGUGUGUCUGUGUGUGUGUGUGUGUGUGUGUGUGUGUGUGUGUUAAAAAACGAAACGAAAGCCCGCCCAGACGACGCCGGAGUUACUUACGGAUACCUACCAAUUUACCGAGCGUCGCGUGGUUGCCGUCACCCAGGUAGUCAUACUUACCCGCGAUAAGCCUGUAACCCCACGGUGUGUGUGUGUGUGUGUGUGUGUGUGUGUGUGUGUGUGUGUGUGUGUGUGUGUGUGUGUGUGUGUGUUUUGAGAGGACACGCGAUGGAAGCCCGCAGGUGUGUGUGCGCGAUAGGGUGCGUGUGCACUGGAAUGUGGGUUUGAAAAGCACCGAGGAGAGGGCCGACGCCGCGCGUGCACUGCGCUGAAGCAGCACCUGCAGACAUUCGGACGCUCACCCUCACUGCCUCUCACAACGGGGCCGCCGCAGCUGCCAUACGGACACAGCGGUUCCAGCGGUUUCCGCCUUGCGCAACCACACGCACCCAGCCGCUACCCUUCUCUCAUGCGGAUGCGUGAAGGAGGCCUCUGCUCUGGUUAAGCAGCUGUCAGGCGCACCUUGACGCCGAAGGGCUUCAGCUCCAGCCGCAUUGCGUCUGUGAGCGAGUGCACGGCGGCCUUGGAGGAGGAGUAGAUGGCGCCCCAGGGGGUGGCAAAGUAGCCCACCUGGGGGGGACACGCAGCGCGGAGGAGGAGGAGAAAGAGGCGGGGCGGCUGGGAGGGGUAGUGUGUGACAAACUUGGACACAGUGAAGGUGCAGGCGGUGGAUGGGGGAGCGACGUGCGGCGUGCAAGGAGGUAGCCGGUGGCAGCGCGCGCAGGUCGCUUUUGGCGCGUCUAUGCGGCGACCAUGCCCCCCUUGCGUACUACUGCAUGUGUGCAGGCGCGCAUGCACCGCAACAGUGGCUGGGAUGGGGCUGGGCCGGUCUUCAAAGCAGCGCGUUGGCGUUGCAAGCGGCGGAGCGCAGUCGAAGCGCCAACAAACACGUCGCUGUCGUCGGUGCGGGAGGGGAAGAGUGUGUUCCAGGCCCGACUAGAGCGAGGGGUGGGCGGUGCAGCGGCAUGCGACAUGCACGGGCUGCGGAUGUGGACGCGGAUGCAGCGGAGAUGGCGUGCGGGGCGCCCGUCCAAAGCCCUAGCACCACAUACACAUCGCUCCAUCUCGCCCAACACGCAGCACUAGCGCCCCUACUACUGCCCCUGGCCCCUAGGUACGCACACAGUCUCGCGGCCUUUGUGCAUGGAAAUGCCAUGACCCCCCAUGCUUCACGCGGCCCCGUGCGCCCAUUGCCACGCUCACGUUACAGUCCCGGCUACCUUUUCAAUUCCACACCAACUCCCCGGCCCGCCGGCCCCCACAACUCGCGAUCUGCAACCCCAACGGCUAGUCUGGAGUACCGUAACAAAGGACACUGAACACGAUGACCCGGGCGCCACCACGCCGCCACUCACCACGCUGCCUACGUUGCAGAUGGUCCCGGUCCGGCGCUGCGCCAUGGCGGGCGCCACGGCCUGACACACCCGCAGCAGCCCCCACACGUUGGCCUCGUACACCUGAGGGAGAGGGGUGGGGGAAUAGGGGAUAAGGGGUUGCAGGGAGCAACAAGUACAGCUAUUUGGUGAUAGGGGAGUUUCGUACUCUUUAGGGUUAGGUUCGGCUUGCCUCUCCUCCUCGCUCUAUGCGCGUGCAUCUCAUCCGGUACGGUCGCUUGCCCUCUCUCUUUGUUGCUUUUGCUGUCUCAUGGGAUGCUGAAACCCAUGCCCACUCCACCCACGCCCCCUGCCCCCGGGCCCCCUCUCCCUCCCCGCCCUACCUCCUUGGCCUUGUCAAUGUCCACCUCUAUCAGCGGGGCCACCUGCAGGCGGAGGGGCACAGGGCGGGGGCGGCGCUGCUCGCACAUGUGUACACCAGGCGGUCUGAUACCCGACAUGGCCGCAGCCGGCGAUCCCGCGCAUGUGCGCACGCAUGGCUGUCCCCACCCUACCCCCCACCAGCAGUUACACACCCUGAGUCGCGCCCCUCGUCCGCCUGCACCCUUAUCGCUGCCUCUGUCCCUCUUCCCGCCUCUCCCCCUCUCCCUCCUACCCCUGCUGUCUCCUCCUUUCCUUUCCUUCUUUCCUCUCAACCCCAGUGUGCUCCGUAUCUCAUGGAACUGGAACAGCCCCCCCUUGCUGGCUUGGCUUGGUUUCGUUUAGUUUUGGGCUGGUACUUGCAAGCCCCCCCAAGGGACUGACGCACCAGACCCAUGCCGGCAUUAUUGACCAGCACGUCGAUGCGCCCCGCCUCCCGCAGCACCGCCGCCACCGCCGCCGCCACCGAGUCCUGCUGCGUCACGUCCAGCGCCAGGGUUUUAACGCCCGGACACGCCGCCACCAGACCAGACAUGGACUCGAUGCGGCGGGCGGUGGCGUACACGGUGCAGCCAGCCGCGUGGAAGGCGGCGCACAGGCCGGCGCCUGGCGUGGGGGGGGGGGAUGGCGAGGAUUCGGACGGGAAGGUGCAUUCGGGCAGGGCUUGGAUGCAGGAUGGGCAACGCAGAGUACGUUGCUAAGGUGGCUAAAGCUGUGAUUGUGCGCGUGCGAUUUUGCCAGGGGCGCUAAAGCGAAGAGCGGGGCCAAGAACCCACUGAUGCGUGCUGGCGGUUGGCACCUGUGUUUACGGCGCCCUAGCACCCUGCGUCCCCCGGUUCACGGCCAGAUACGUCACAGCCUGAGACGCACCACCUCCACCGACGCACCAAUGCCUCCAUCACUGCAGCCGGUGAUGAGGACGACCUCCUCGCGCUCAGCUGGCCGAACCAUUCUCACCGGGCUUCAGUUCCCGCAAAGGGUUUGGCAAGAUGUGAUACAGCGUGCAGUUUAUAACCUCAAAGAUUGCGGUUGGUUUGAGUUCUGGGGCAAGUCGCGUGGGGCGAAGAGAGUUGUUUGAGCGGUCCAAGGGACAAGUCCCUAUGACAGUGUCUUGAGGCGUUUACUUGACGCUCAAACAAUACACACUGGAUUUGCUUAUGCAAUAAACUGUCGCAGACGCGGGAUCGGGGCAGUCGGGAGCAACAUGCACGUUCGGGAAGUCGGGAACACCAUUUGCGCUGUAAUAUCGUCACAUGAAUCCCGAAGUCUAUAAAAUUGCAUGAACCAAACAUGAUUGAGCUACGAGACUUUCAAUAGCCCCUGCCUUCGCAGCUAGCGCGACUAAAUGCCCACUCCGCGCGCAGGGGCCUCAGGGUCCUCAGAUGACCCUUUUCAACUACGUGGAAAUGCACCGGUCUCGGUUGUGCGCGCGGCCAAGUGCGUCGGGUGGCAAUUUCCAUUCUUGACGAACAAUAGACGCGUCUGGCAGCCGCAAGUGACGUCAAAACAAAUCAUGUCUUAACUGCAGAGCGUCGCUGAAGGAGCCAACGCGCCCGGUGACCCCAGCGGACUACGGUCGUCAGCUGUUCUCCUCCGGCGACCCCAGCAACCGGCCUUCCACCUCUUACUCUGUGUCUGGAAGGUGUGUACAGUGGAUCUUGACUACCAGAAAUUUGUCCGGCACCACAGCGGGCUCAGUCGUGUCGGUCGUGCCCCGCAUGUGUGUGUACACCGCAGCAAAGCGUUCUACCAGGAUGGCGCGGGCCCCAAGCUGGCGCUGCCGAAGCUGGAAACGGGGAGGCUGGGUAAGACCGUCGCGGUCGUGUCGCGGUCGCAGCGUGUGGGACAGGGCGGGGCGUGCAGCCUCGGGCCCCGACCAAGUCAUGUCGCGGCCGCUGAACUGCCCGCGGCAGUUGGCUGUCCGAGUGACAGACAGCACACGCUGGGUAGAGCGUGCUGCAUCUCUAGGUCGCUGCUCUCGGGGCACAGUUGCGCACUAGGAGUGGCCUAGCCGGCUGCGGGGGCGACCUCAUGCUGGUCUUGAUGCCACUGGGGCCGGAUGGUACUCGCGUCAUGUGUGUCAACUAGCAGGCUCAUCUUGUGUCGCCUGGCGGGCUAACUUACUGACUCUGCCUGACACACACACGCAGACACGUCCGGCGGCGGUGCGCUGCGGAAGGCGCCAUCCGGCGCAGAGCGGGAGCCCUCACGGUGCGGGCCGUGGGCGAGGUGGCCGUGUGGGUGCGGGCGUGGGCAUGUAAAUGAGUGCGGUCGAGUGCUGGCGACGGCAGAGGGCUGCUGCCCCUAUUUAAUCGGGGUGUAGGGUGGCUGUCCAUGCAAAACGGAGGGGAGGCCUGCCACUUGCGGUGCCGUCACCGGCGCCGUGGGGCAUGCGGGCUGGGAGGGGGCAAGCCUGACCCGCGUGCUGACGUCCGCGCGCCGUGUUGGGCGCAUGCCCUCCUGCCGACUGCAACACUGUGUGUAUGCCACGUGUUAAAGAGCACAAGGAAAACAUAGCGCAAAGACAGUGUAUGCGAUGCCGCAAAGCGACGGUUUACGGAUGUUACCUGAAGUUACCUCGCAUAAUCGCUGCGGUGAGCCGCCGGUCUUACCAACCGGAAAUCGCGCAACCCCCUGUGUGUAUGCCACGUGUGUGUGUCUGUCUCUUCUCCUGGCUGCGUAGGCUCGGGCCCAGCCCGCUGCCGGGGCUGGAGGCCACGCUGGCGCCGGGGGGCGGCCGCGCCGGGCGGCAGACGGCGGCGGAGACGGUGGCCAGCCUCAAGGCCAACAUGGGCAUGAGCGGCGGCGGUGUGGAGGGAGACUUCAGGUGGGUGUGCGCGGGGGGGAGGAGGCGGAGAGUGGGCGGGGCGCGGCAGGCCUGGAUAUGGCUGGGUGGGCCACAUGAGGCGGGAGGGAGGCCCAGCUGCUGUGCCUGUCAUGUGCCUCACAGGCGCCAGGGUUAGCUGGCCGGGUGGUGGGGUGGGAUGGCGCGGCUGGAUGGGGGGCUGGACGGCUGGGUGGCUAGCUGUUGGCAUGCGUAGGCUGGGCCGGCGGCUCUGCAUGUGCCCAGCAGCCCGCCCCUGCCUCCUGGCGUUUCCGUCUCCGCCUUCGCCUCUCUCUUACUACCCACUGGGCAUGCAACAUGACAGCCGCCUUCCACGCACCCCACAACCCCGCCACGACACCCGUCCCCGCAGCUUCCCGCGACCCAGCGCCGGCUCCGCCUCCCACCCGCACCCGCACGCGCCGCCCGACCCCACCGCCGCCGCGGGCGGCCGCGCCGCCUCGCUCACACUGCCCCCCGCCAGCGGCUUCGCCUCUCCCUCCGGCCCCGGCCCCGGCGCCUCCUCCUCCUCCUCCUCUACCCACCACCACACCACCACGUCCACCUCCACCCUGGCGCCCGAGUACAGCUACAGCGGCUACGGCGGCUACGGCGGCCUGGAUGCCCCCGGCGGCGGCGGCGGCGAGGGCCCGCUGCUAGACCCGCGGCGCAAUGACGACCUGCCGCCGCGGCCGGGCACCAGCCGCGGGCGGCCGGGCAGUGCGGCGCUGAGCGACAUGGACCCCAUCACGGAGCGGUACGCGGGACCGCCGCCCGGCGUGCAGGACCUGGGCAACGGGGCGCAGGUGAGGGCUUUGGUGGGGUUGGGCGGGUGGGUUCCAUGCAUGUUAAAUCACUCGAGAAGACGUAAACUGCAGAAGGUGGGCGGGUGGAGGCGUGGGUGGGUGGGUGGGUGGGUGGGUGGCUGGGGUCGAGGGCGACCUGGGGACAGUCACGGGAGGGAAGGCUGGAAGCAGCGGAUGGGGGAGGAGCGGGUUGGGGAAAGGGGAGGGCAUUUGGCAAGUGCGAGGGAGCUGGGAGGUGGCGGACAGGUUGGGGGCACACAGAGGACUAGGGCCGAAUUGGAGCGGGCCGGGUUAGGAGGCGAGGCUGUGCAGGCGUGCUUGAGGUUUCAGGCGGCACCGGCAAGGCCUCCGGGCACAUGCUCCCGGUGCCCCCACGUGUGCGGUGACCCGUGGCAUGCACCCUCGGCUACGCCGCCAUCAUGGACCCCCGGCCCCUGCUGUACCAAUGUGCCUGGCAACAAGUUCGCUGCCUCUUAAUCAAUCAGCAAUGCAACGCCCACCGCCUCCUUCAGGUCCUGGACAUGGCGGCAUUCGCGCAGUACUCGGACGACGACGAAAACGAUUACGCCGGCCACCACCACCACCCCAAACAGCACUCGCACCACCACCACCAGCAACACCAGCAACAGCACGGCGCGGCGGCGGCGGCGGCGGCACCGGCAGCCGCGGCACCAGCAGCGCACCACCGCUCCGCAGCCGCCUCAGCCUCCGCCGCCCCUGCGGCCAUGGCCUCCCCCAGCCGCGGCGGCUCGGGCUCGGGCUCCGGCGCCCCAACCACCGCACCCAUCUCCGCCGCACCCACCUCCACCACCACCACAACGGAGGGAUCCAGCGAGGAGUUCGCGGCCUGGCGCGCCUCCAUCGAGGCCGUCCUCUCCGAGCUCUCCGCCGCCAUCAGCAGCAAGGCCGCCACCUCGGUGCUGUGUGCUGCCGCCGGGCGGCUGGUGGGGCUGGUGGAGGAGGUGCGGCGGCGCGAGCACUCGAGCGCCUGGCUCAACAGCGCCUGCAGCGCCGGCAGCGGCUUCCGGGACGCGGGCGGGGUGGCGCUGACGCUGCGCGAGGCGGUGAGCGAGCACGUGUUCCGACUCAUGGACAGCGGCAGUGCGGAGCUGCUCAUGAAGGUGGGCGGGGAGGCGAGGGGGCGGGGGGGGGGGAGGGGGUUACAUUCAUGACUAGUUAAGGAAGUGGUAGACGGUAGACCAGCGUGCGGAACAGGGGGGGGGAUCGCAAGGAUGCUUGGACAAGCGGUACAGGUUGGGGUGGGGUGGGGGGGGCAAAGCACGAGAUGGUGUGGGGCGGGUGUGUGGCAGGCAUGGCUAGUUGGUGCCGUAAUGAGCAUGAGGGGGGCAGGGGAGGGGCGGGAGGGCUGGGGAAGGGGACCUGGGGGGCGAGCUGCUGGCGCGUGUGCUGAGCAAGGCGGCAUUGCGUUAUAGCCAAUGUGGGUGCGCUAACAUAUGCCAACCCAUGUGCUGUGCGACCCCGCCACACCCAUCCGCGCCCCCCCCAACCUGUGCCGGGUGUUCCCCUGCUCCUCCCCUCCCCGACGAUUCCUUGACCAUUGGGACUAUUUCUUUGGGCUGAGCUUGGGGCACACAGCCGCAACUCCACAACCCCCUACUGUUCCUGGCUACGCCUUCACUGCUUAACCAAUCCAAUGCAACCCCCUCAUCCCCGCACCGCCAGGCCUGCGCGGUGGUGCUGCGUGUGGUGAAGAGCCGGCAGCCGCUGCUGCAGACCGCCAAGCUGCUAUACCGGCUGAGCAAGGACGGCGGCAACGACGGCCUGUUCCGGCGCGAGGGGCUGCUGGAGCCGCUGGUGCACACCGGGCACAUCAUGGUGGCCAGCGCGCGCGGCAGCAGCAACCCAGCAAACAUGCACGAGGUGGGGAGGGGUGGGGAGAUGGGAGGGCGGAUUACACUCAUUAUAAGUUAAGGAUGUGGUAGACGGGGUGGGGAGAGAGAGGGAGGUGGGAGGAGAGGGGAGGGGGUUCUCGGUGAUCGGAAGGAGGGCGGAGAGGGCGUGGGGGAAUGGGCAGGGAGCAAAGCGGGGGUUAACGUUUGGGGUUGGACGGAUUGCGGCAGGAGAGGACUGUUGCUGGGUGCUCGGAAAGGCUGGAACGGGCACCACAUGCCGUCCCUAAGGCGCGAUGGCAUAGGUCACGCUACCUGUUGACCUGUCGUCAUGCCCCCUGCUCGAAACCCUACCCUGAACCCCACGCCCGGACCCCUGCCCGCCCCCGCCCCUGCCCUCCCAGCCCCUGGUGUACAUGAACGGCUGCCUGAAGAACAUCUCCAGCGAGCCCUCCAACCAGAAGGCGCUGGUCAAGCUGGGCGGCCUGCACGUGCUGGCGGCGCUGCUGCAGCAGCUGGCGGAGCAGGUGGGAGGGAGGGGGAGGGGGAGGGAGGUUAGGGCGGGUAGAAGAGGGCCGGGAGGGCCGGGGGGCAACGCGGGUGGAGGAGGGCCCCUCGGUGUGUGUGGGGGGAGCGCGCUCUGGGGCGUCAGAGCAGGCUCACACGGCCUGCCCGCCACGGCCUGAUGUCAACACGGGCGGCAUACGUGCCUUCGCCCUGUUCAUGCCGCCUGCUCCCUUGUUUGCCCCUGCUGCUUCCAUCCCCUCCUGUCCCUGGCUCACCUGCUGCCCCCCCCCCCCCCCACGCGUCUACGCUGCAACUGUACCUGCCUACGACUCCACUUCUUAAUUAAUCAUGAAUGUAACCCCCCCCCCACACACACACACACACAUACACACACAGGCCAAGUCGGGUGAUGAGGCCCUGGCGGAGUCGUGCGGCCAGGUGGCGGUGCAGGCCAGCGGCGUGCUGAGGAACCUGGCGGUGCCGGCGCAGGUGAGGCAGCAGCUGUAGAAUAGAAGCAGGCGGCGGCGGGGGCAGUAGCAUGUAGCAGCAGGGGUAUCCGUCAAGCGUCCAUACGCCCUUGCCCGCCCCGCCCCUGUCCUCACCGACACCCACGCCCCUCAGCACAUACCUCCUGGACUCUGCAAACCCCACAAACACCCACCACCACCACCUCCUCCCUCUUUUGCAUUGGGUUCGGUUUGCUUUGGGCUGGUAUCUACACCCCCCCCCCGCCGAACCCCCACCCCACUACGCCUUCACCUCUUAAUUAAUCAUGAAUGUAACCCCACCCCCACAGAACGCGCCGGCCUUCCUGGCUGCGGGCGUGCUUCCCGCGCUGCGCGCCGCCGUGAGCUGCCUGAGCGGGCAGGUUGAGGUGGUGCUCAACGCCGGCCGCAUCCUGUCCAAACUCACGCUGCACGACGGCUGCCAGGACGCCAUCGCGGCAGACCCCGGCUAUGCGCCGCUGCUGGUGCGUGUGUUCGGGAGCACAGGGGGAGGGGUCGACACCACGAGGGCCGCGAGCGGUGUUACCUGUCGUAUCGUUACCGUGCCUGGGGCGUGUGUUACAGAGCACAAGGGGCGUAUGUGUGUAUGUGCGUGUAGCCGGUCAUGGGGGUAAACUGUGACCCCAAUAUCACAUCAUCCCCUNNNNNNNNNNNNNNNNNNNNNNNNNNNNNNNNNNNNNNNNNNNNNNNNNNNNNNNNNNNNNNNNNNNNNNNNNNNNNNNNNNNNNNNNNNNNNNNNNNNNCCGCACACACACACAAACACACACACACACACACACACACACACACACACACGCCUGCACGGAGGGGGGUUUGUAGAUACCAGCCCAAAGUACACCGAACCCAAUGCAGAAGAGCGAGGAGGAGAGCGCGGCCUCUGCUUUGACAACGGAGUGGCAGGGGGCCAGGGGGGGCGGGGACACGGGUUUCUGAGUUUCCGAAAGAGCGGGGGGGAGGGGGCACGGGUUGGGUGGGCGGCCGCGUGAUGGGCGCCUCCGUCCGGGCCGCGUGUCCCCAGGGCGUUGUGGCCGCAUGGCCGCUGCGUGUGGCGGCAGUGGUGCUGGCACUGAUGUGUCGCCUGGUUGCGCCGCGCCGCGAGCUGCCCACACACGGCGGACGGAUCCCCUUCCUCUGCGCGGCUGCGCACCUUCCCCGUCACGCACACCGCCACCGCCUCUCUAGCCAUGCCUGAAAGGUUUUGGGCUCGCAAACACUGUGCGUGCGUGUGUUGAGGGCACCGAAACCGUCUGUGAGUAUGUGUAUAUGUGUGUAUGUGCGCGCGCAGGUGUGCAACGUGCCGUUCGCGCUGGUGACGGUGGUGGGCAUCCUGCAGCGCUACGCCUACGGCGGAGGGCCGCAGCCCGAGGGCGGUGCAGCCGCAGGCGGCAGCGCGGCGGCGGACAGGUUCGUGUGUGCGUGUGUUAAAGAGCACAAGGAAAACGUUGCGCAAAGACAGUGCAUGCGAUGCAGCAAAGCGACGGUUUACGGAUGUUACCUGAAGUCACCUCGCAUACCUGCUGCGGUGAGCCGCCGGUCUUACCAACCGGAAAUCGCGCAACCCCCGCUACUCUAACCUCGAGGGGGGAUUAGUGUCCACACGCUCUCAAGGGUGCAAACCCAUGCAUGUGCUCACGGUACCGUGAGGCCCAGGCACUCCUACAAUUCCUAGCUCCGCGUCGCUACUCCUGGCCGCUAAGUCCAAGCUCCCGCCCAAUCCUCGAUGAAAUUCUCACCUACGAGCGAAUAAGAAACCAACAGAGCACAGGGCGGCAGCAGGGGAGUGUCACGAACAAGAGCGAAGGAACAUGUUAGCGCGGCGGCGCGCGACGAGCAAGAGCAAACACGCAGCCCAGUCCCAGCCCAAUUAACUAUACUAGGGGUUGCGCGAUUUAGGAAAGAGACGGAGGGUGGGCGACCACGAGCAAGUAAACAGGCGGGGGACGGCAUGGGCGCAUGCAUGACGGCAAAUGCAAAUGGGGUGUCAGCACCAUGGGCUGGCGGGGGAAAACCCCGCUCCCCACUCCAUGGUGUGACGGAGGCGGCACACGCUAGGUACUCCCCUCAUGCGGCCAUGUAGCACCAAGUCCAAGUACACGCACAGCUUAUGGGGACGUCGAUGCCGCGGGGCAGCGGCAUGGGGAGGGUGGGCCCAAAGUCAGUACAGGUUAUGGCGCAAAUCAGAGGAACGCGACAAGCAGGAGGAACACGGCGCGCCCGAGGCGCCACGAGGCCCCCAGCCCGGUCCCCGACCCCGCGGAACGGGCUCCAGGCCUAGUGCCCAAAACUCCGACAAGAUAGCAAUUUUCGGUAGCAUCGUCCAGACGCGACGGCACGCAGCACAGCACUGUGUGUAGGACGCCGAAAAUUACCCUUCGACAGAUUUGUGAGCAUAGGGCAAUUUCACCACCAGAAAUUGUCCAUACACUCACAAAUCAAGUCGCUAAAACACGAGCCCUAGAGGCCCCGGCACGCCCGCGGGACAUGAACCGGCUCGCGCACUUGUGUUAAAGAGCACAAGGAAAACGUUGCGCAAAGACAGUGCAUGCGAUGCAGCAAAGCGACGGUGCGCACGUGUGUGUGUGCGUGUGUGUGUGUGCGCGCGUGCGCACGUGUGUGUGUGUGUGUCCUGCGCAUGCAUGGGCACGCCCGCCGCGCCACACGCCGCCACCAGGCAUCCCCCGCCACCGUGGGGCUGGUCCUGCCUCUGCACCCACCCACCUUGGGCUGCAACGCCGCGCCUGAGAAUCCCCAACAUCGUCUGUCUGGCCAUGCCCGCAACCCCUUCCUGGACUGCCGGGGUACCCUCCAUCCCUCUCCUCAUACCUGGGAUCCCCAUCUUCACUUGUCUGGGUUUACUCGGGUUGGGAGUAACCUACCCCUCUCCUCCAACAGCUGUAUCGCUUUCCCAACCAUCUUUGCAACCCCCCUCCGCCUCUACUAACCUACCCGCCUCCUCCACUAAACUACCCCCCCCCAGGCUGUCCAAGGCCGCCAGCCACGAGGACUGCCUGGUCAAGGUGCUGCGCCUGGCCGCCAACCUGGCCAUCUGGCCCGACGCCGGCCGCACGCUGGCGGAGGAGGAGCAUGUGGCGGGGGCGCUGCUGGCGCUGCUGGAGCGAUACAGGUGGGGGGAGGGGAGGGGAGGGUGGGGGAGGGGAGGGGAGGGGAGGGGAGGGGAGGGGAGGGGAGGGGAGGGGACGGGAGGGGAGCGGAGGGGAGGGGUAUUGCCAUCGAGGCUGUGUCUUUCGGCACGUGGCGGGCGCAGCUUUCUCAGUAUCCUCCCGCACACACGCCCGCCGGCCUUCUCCCUCUCACCUCUGCCGCCACACACCCCCACUUCACCCACUUCACCCCUCCUCCCCCCCUGCAGCUUCGAGGCGGCCGAGGAGCUGGUGCUCAACACCGUGUGCGCCCUCACCAACCUGUCCUUCUACCAGAGCGAGCAGCAGCCGGGCGGCUUCACAAACAGGGUGAGCACGCCCUAGGCGCCCAGAGAUGCUUGAGCGGCCUUUGCGACGCCUCUCACGGCCUGUCACAUAGGAAGGAAAAGGCGGCGGCGGCGGUCCCGCGUCAGUGCGGUGGCCACAGCGCGCACACCAGAAAGGAUGUGCCGGCCCCACCGGACCACAUGCGCCCGCCCACGCCCACGCCCUGCGUCCAGCGCGCCUACCCCCACCCGCACCUGCUGAGUUUAGUUUGGGCUGGCAUCUACAACCCCACCUGCUGAGCCUGUACCGCUCUGCGGCAUUGCCACACCGCCGUCGUCUCGCUACCGUAUCAUGUGCCUGUGGGACCUCCCCCCCCAUAACAUCGGUAACAACGCGUCUACUAUGCGACUGUACCUGCCUACGACUUCACUUCUUAGUUAAUCAUGAAUGUAACCCCCCGCCCCGCAGGUGCUGCUGCUGCCUCCCCCCCGGCUGCUGCCGCGCAUCACGCCGCUGCUGCUGUGCGACAACGAGGAGGCGGUGGUGGAGGCGGCGCGGGUGUACGGCAACUUCUCGCGCAGCGCGGACGUGCGCGACUACAUGCAGGUGAGGGGCUGGGGGUUAACGUUGAACCAAUCCCGUAAGGAAACAGUCGCGCGGCAAGGAGAACUGCAUAUGCGAGUAGGGGCUGGGGGGGGGGUUGUAGGGAUGUUUGGAAAAGCGGUACAGGAUGCACUGAAGACUGCAGACGAAGUCGUUACCACAUGAGCGGCCGUCCGGGCGGACGCGCUCCAGCUCGUUGUCCCUCCGUGAAGCUGGGGGGGGGGGGGGGGUCCGGGUGAAGGUGGGGGCCGGGGGGGGGGGUUGUAGAUACCAGCCCAAACUAAACCAAACCAAGCCAAGGAGCGGAGCGCAGGCAGAGGCGACAGUACAGGGUUAUGGGGAGGGGGUUGUUGUCAGGGGCGGCUGGUACCGUGUCGGAGUUUCCAUGCGCAUGCGCUCUCGCCGCCGGCGGCGCCGCCGCCGCCCAUCCAGGACACCUCGCUCACCUGACCACCCUGCACCCUGCACAGGCCACGCGGGUGGUUGAGGCGCUGGUGCUGCUGCUGGACCACAGCAACGCCGAAGUGCUGUACAGGUGAGGGAGGGGAGAUUGUAGAUACCAGCCCAAACUAAAUCGAACCCGAUGCAAAAGCGCGAGGAGGAGGAGGAGGAGGAGGGGGCUUCAUGCCUCACCCACCCGCCACCGUCCGAUGAAUGCGCCCACUUCGUCAGCUUUCGGGCUUCUCCCCUACCUACCUGGGUCUUGACAUGCCCUGUCCAUGCGCACCUCUGGCCAGGCUUUCGCGUGGUGAUGGGACUAGCUCGCUGAGCUCGGGCGUGUAACCCCUCCCAUUCCCGCCUUACAAAGACGCUUUGUGAACCCGUCUUGCGAAACCCCCUUCGGCCUCUCCCCCUGUAACCCGCCUCUUGUGCGCCCUGUCCCUUGAUUUUCUACCGUCUACCACUUAACUAAUCAUGAAUGUAACACCCGCUUUUCCUCCGCAGCGUGUGCGGCACGCUGAUCAACUUCACCAUGGACGGCAGCCGCCGGGACGUGCUGGGCGGCCUGGGCGGCGUGUCGCGGUUGGUGGAGGUGCUGGGGCGCACCAUGGCGCAGGGGGAGCUGGGUGAGCGCGAGGAGGCCAUCGUGGAGGUGGUGUGCAAGGCGCUCUUCAACGUGGCGUCAGCGGACGAAGGGCCGGCGGCGGGUGCGGGAGCGGGGGCGGCAGGAGGGGAGGGGAGAGGUGGCGCGGGGGCGGGGGCGGGGGGUGCGGAGGGGAGAGGGGGUGGGGAGGGUGGCGGGGCGGGGGCGGGCUGCAGCUUCCGGCACGAGGAGGUGGUGGAGGUGCUGGGGCUGCUGGAGGUGCUGGAGGCCAGCUCGCUGGGGGAGGCGGCGGAGCUGGGCGCCGUGCUGGGCCGGCUGGGGGGCCAGAUGCGGCGGCUGCAGGCGCGGCUGUCCCUGGAGGAGCUGGAGGCGUUGCCGGAGUAGGGGCCCUUGCUUAGGGAAUUCAGGGGUGGGAGGGGGGCCAGCCGUCUGUGAAAGACGGAGUGAUUAGGGGGAGGAUGGGCUGCGGUGUACAGUGUAGGCCAGCUUGGGAGAAGGUGAAGGAGGUUUGGGCGGGCUCGGGCGGAAGCCGCGCGUGUGAGCCUUAGUCCUGUACAUUUCCGUGUCACGUGGCGGAGGUCUGACUUGACGGGACGGGGGUGACAGUGGGUUGAGGCGGGUGGAUGGGAUGAGCUCUGGCAUGCGAGCGGCGGGUAGGCAGGUGUACAGACACGCGGCUGCUGUGUGGGGGUGUGGCGAAUUAUGAGCACAGCACAUGAUUGGAGUGGACUUGUGCGGCUGGGUAGCAUUGCUUGCUCAGGUAAUUCAUUCACGGCAAACGACCCGCAUCAGCCUGCAGUGCCGCCGCGCUGCCCGUACGUCGGCCUUGCCAUGUGUGUUAGCUAUGUCUGUGAAGGGCUAGCUGAAGUGAGCUGAACGGUGUUCGGGACUGCGGGGGACUGUUGUGCAGCACAGCCUCGCAGCAUUCCACUACACCAUCAUGCGAAGUGCGGCAGUGCAGAGCAAACGGCCCCCAACCAGUGGGGGACUGGGGGAUGGCUAUGCAAGGUGGCUGUUCAAACGCAGGCAGCCCUCCACCACGCCGCAGCCGGUGCUCGCACAUCCUCACAACCCCCACAUACAUGCUGUCCUGAGCCCUACAAUCGUCUCCAUGCCGGCUUGCUGCGUCCGCACUGGCAGCAUUCGGCCGUGCGCUGCGCCCGUUGCACAGUAUGCACACCCUGCAAUAGCACUGCACCCGGUGUACACUUGGGUGUGCGAUGGGACAGUGGUAAGGCACUAAGUCAGGUUGGUCGACGCCCCGUCCCUGCAGUGCGCAUGCGCUACGACCCCCACCAGCUGCUACUCGACAACAGGGGGAAGACGGCGGAGGCACACAACGCGUGAAGCCAAUAUUGCCCGAAUGCCGGCGCCAUGUCAUGGACGUGCAAACGGCUGCGCUGCGCCACGGAUAUACCGGUCGUCAGGACCGCCCCGUCGUGUUAGGAUCAAUCCGCCCCGAACUUGACCCAUCCUCGCCAAACAUCCUUCGCCCCUCACGCCUGCCGCAGGGUAAGCUACCGCCAGACAAGGUCAUUUCCACCAACAAGCUGGGUGCGGAGGAGCGCGAAAGACGCAGGGCCCAACGCAUGACGGCAGAGGUGUCACACAUGAGCCCCGUCCAGAUGCCCGGUGGUCACAAGCAGCGCACAGCCGCAACUGCAGUAUGCAGUACUCCUUAACACAACCCGUUUGCAAGUAACGCUUGCAGAAACAGGGGCAGGGGUCUGUGAAAGCAGCCGACGUGCCUCGGCAUGUCCUGGCGAACAUGGCCUCCGCCCUGCACAUGUCGCGCCCCAGACCGCAUUGUGCGGCUGUCGAAGGCCAAUGAAGGACAAGUCCCCUUACGUCUAAGUGCUCUGGGCUGUUGAAACACCCAAACCCUGAAAAAAACGCGCGGGCACGAACUCCGUGUUGAUUCCCGCACCAGGCACGGGCGACAUGUUCGUUGGCGUUUCGACUGCGCUCCGCCACUUGCAACGCCAAUGCGCUGUAAUGGACGCUCCAGCGCCUUCGCAGCCAAUGUCGCGGUGCAUAUGCGCGCCUGCGCACGCGCAGUACGCAAGGGGUGCAUUGUCGCGGCAUACGCGCCAAAAGCGACCUGCGCGCGCUGCCAUCGGCCACGGCCGGUGCUUUACUAGAAGUACUUGGUAGCUUACCUUGCGGUCUGUACCGGCUGCGGCGUGACGGAGGGCUCCCUGCGUUUGAAACAGCCCGCUUGCAUGGGCACCCUGGAGUUGUGAAAGCGAGGGAGUCUUCCGCUCUGCACAGCGCUCUGCUACGGUUUACAAUAGCGUGGAACACUUAGACACCGUGCUUCACACAGUCUCACACACACCUUGCAUUUAGCCCGCUACAGAGAGCACUAGCUGAGAUGGCGGUCGACCGGGAGGAAUGCGUCUACAUGGCCAAGCUGGCCGAGCAGGCUGAGCGCUAUGACGAGAUGGUGGAGGAGAUGAAGAAGGUGGCCAAGCUGGUGCACGACCAGGAGCUGUCCGUGGAGGAGCGCAACCUGCUUUCGGUGGCUUACAAGAACGUCAUUGGCGCUCGCCGCGCGUCCUGGCGCAUUAUCUCCUCCAUAGAGCAGAAGGAGGAGGCUAAGGGCAACGAGGAGCAUGUCCAGCGCAUUCGCAAGUACCGCACUGUGGUAAGCAGCGCUCGGAAGGGACAAGGGCUAUGAUCCUUCUGCGUCGACAUGGGAACCUUCCGGGGCCCCUUGCACUUGGCAUGGUCAACCAGCAGGCUGACCUUGGCCAUAACCUGCUGCGCAGGUCGAGGAGGAGCUCAGCAAAAUCUGCGCCAGCAUUCUGCAGCUGUUGGACGACCACCUGAUCCCCACUGCCUCCACUGGCGAGAGCAAGGUGUUCUACCUGAAGAUGAAGGGCGACUACCACCGCUACCUGGCUGAGUUUAAGACCGGCGCUGACCGCAAGGAGGCUGCCGAGCACACCCUGCUCGCGUACAAGGCCGCGCAGGUCAGCGAAGAAGCUGGAGGGACUCCAGGUCGCGGGCAGUGACUGGGGCUGUGACCUCCAAUGCCAUGCGCUUUUGGCG
rnacentral:lncRNA from 1 species